CUGGGAAUGACCCGGAAUGGAGACAGAUGGACUUAGAGCAGGAUUUAGGGGAGACAGAGAAUGCCUUCUACUGUUCCAGCAUCAACCCACCAGCCCAGCCUAGCUCACAAAGCUCAUUGAUUUUCCGGUGCUGAGCGAGGAGAAAUUAAGAACAGGGUGAAGAGGGUGAAGAUCUGGUUUCAGCGUGCCACAGUCUGCCCAUGACACCUGGACCAGGGUCAGGUCUACAGGUCAGGUCUGUCCCGUCAAGGGACAACUUCUCACCAGGGACAAUUCCUUGCCUAGAGGGUCUGAAGGCAGCAUAGAAGCCAUCGAGAGAUGGCUAUCUAUGUCCCAUGUGACCAUAUGACAAUCUACACUUCUUUGUGAAUGUGACUGACUAAGUUUCACUGCAUGUUUGCAGACGACACAACAGUAGUAGGCCUGAUUACCAGCAAAGAUGAGGAGGAGGUGAGGGGCCUGGCAGAGUGGUGCCAGGAAAAUAACCUCUCUCUCAACGUCAACAAAAACGAAGGAGCUGAUUGUGGACUUCAGGAAACAGCAAAGGGAGCACCCCACCUAUCCACAUCGACGGGACCACAGUGGAGAAGGACAUGUUCAGGUUUCUCUGCUUACACAUCACUGACAGCCUCAAGAGGCUGAAAAAAUUUGGCUUGGCCCCUAAGACCCUCACAAACUUUUACAGAUGCACAAUUGAGAUCAUCUUGUCGGGCUGUAUCACCACCCGCAACCGCAGGGCUCUCCAGAGUGUGGUACAGUCUGCCCAACGCAUCACACUGCCUGCCCUCCAGGACACCUACAGCACCCAAUGUCACAAGAAGGCCAAAAAGAUCAUCAAGGACAACAACCCCCCGAGCCACAGCCUGGUCACCCCGCUAUCAUCCAGAAGGCAAGUUAAACAUUAUCAGAGACCUGAGGCCUCCACCCUCCCUAUCCUCCCUAGCAACGAGAUGAUUCCAACAAACAAGAGGGUGAUAACAAUACAUAACACAACAGUCAGCUGUGGGCUGGAAAGGCUGGGUAGUUCAACUCCCUCUUGUUCUCUAAUAGGACUGACGCAAGGUCCUUCAGCAUUCACAGCAAAGGAAGACAACCUUGGCCUUACUGGGGAAAGGGAGGAGGAAAUGGGAGGAUGGAGGGUGUGAUGAAGGGAUCAAGGAGGAUGAAGUCAGAAUGACACUGCAAACAGAAACCUGCCGCCACAUGACAACUCCAACAGAGGAGGAAAAUACCAGCUCUGUUUCUAGCUUGUGGCAAUGUCAAAUCAAAUCAAAUCAUAUUGAAUUUGUCACAUCCUUCAUAGACAACUGGUGUAGACUAACAGUGAAAUGCUUAAUUACUGGCCCUUUUCCAAAAAUGCAGAGGUAAAGAUCAAAUCAAAUCAAAUGUUAGUAGCCACAUGCACUGAAUACAACAGGUGUAGUAGACCAACUGUCACGUUCUGACCUUAGUUCCUUUUGAAUGUCUUUAUUUUAGUUGGUCAGGGCGUGAGUUGGGGUGGGCAUUCUAUGUUGUUUUGUUCUGUUGUUAUAUUUCUAUGUGUUUGGC
ensembl:lncRNA